UACGGAGGAUGCAAGCGUUAUCCGGAUUUAUUGGGUUUAAAGGGUGCGUAGGCGGAUAUGUAAGUCAGCGGUGAAACUCACAGGCUCAACCUGUGCCGUGCCGUUGAAACUGUGUAUCUGGAAUGCGGAUGCUGUGGGAGGAAUGUGUAGUGUAGCGGUGAAAUGCUUAGAUAUCACGAGGAACUCCGAUUGCGCAGGCAGCUUACUAAACCACUACUGACGCUCAUGCACGAAGGCGUGGGGAUCAAA
rnacentral:rRNA from 1 species